GGUUAAUCUCAGCAUUCAAAAAGGGUCUCUCAGAGACUAUACUAGAUGAGAUAGCCGCUAAAGAAUUACCUAAGAGUCUUAACGAAUUUAUUACGUUUGUCAUGCAUAUUGAUAAUAGGUUAAGACUCAGAGAAGUCACCAGAAGCAAGACCAGACGUACGGCUAUGUCCCUAGCACCUCAAUUCUCUAAACCUGUUUUGUCUAACCUCCCUG